rnacentral:rRNA from 1 species
AUGGCGCCGCCGUCGCCGCCGUGUGUCUCAGAGAGGCUGCCGUCCAAGGGAAACGCCGGGAACCGACCCGAGCAGUGUGGGAGCGCCUCCUCUAUACUCUCCCCAAUCCCGCCGAUGCUCUUUUCAGCCCCUCUGCCGCCGCCGUCCAAGGCAAUCUCUGGAGCGAGUCGAGCCUUGCGGGGAACCGGGGACGCCUCCUCUCCGCCGCUGUCCAAGGGAAUCUCCGGGAGCGAGCCGAGCAACUUGCCGCUGCUUUGUGGAUUUUGUUAUUUCCUGGACUACGAUGAAUGCUACUCUGAAUUUAUGCUGAUGAAUCUGUUUAUUUGCUCCGUACUGAAUGAUCGGAGGGGUAAUAAUUCGGCAUGUACUAAUGGCAUUGCAUAUCAUUUUGCUUUGUAA